CUGGAGCAGAGCAUCACGACAAGGCACCACAGAUGCUGAGUGGAUGGAAUAAAGUAAUGGAUCCAAGGAUAGCUGCUCAGUUUAUUGUGAUAAAUAUUAUGGAUUUUCACAGCACUUCCCUGCCGAAGAUUUAUCUUGUUUUGACACUGACUGUAAAGCAAAUGUGAGAAGGAAAAGAGCCCUUAGUAAAGUAUUUUCUCUCCUCCUUGUCCCCCCAAUCUUCCUGUUUCAUGACUUCCAUCCAGUCCAUCACCACUUCUCUUCCUGGCUGCUUCCAAGCCCGACCGAAUGCACGCCCUUCCCUCCAUCCCCACCACACACCUCCUGGCCUGGCCACUCUCAUCUCUCAUCACGAACAUUCCGGACGCCGUAAUCCUCACUGCUCUCCUGCUGCCCCUCUUCUACCCCUGCCUCAGUCCACUCAUCACAUAGAAGCC